CCUACGGGUGGCUGCAGUGGGGAAUAUUGCACAAUGGGCGCAAGCCUGAUGCAGCCAUGCCGCGUGUGUGAAGAAGGCCUUCGGGUUGUAAAGCACUUUCAGCGGGGAGGAAGGCGUUAAGGUUAAUAACCUUGUCGAUUGACGUUACCCGCAGAAGAAGCACCGGCUAACUCCGUGCCAGCAGCCGCGGUAAUACGGAGGGUGCAAGCGUUAAUCGGAAUUACUGGGCGUAAAGCGCACGCAGGCGGUCUGUCAAGUCGGAUGUGAAAUCCCCGGGCUCAACCUGGGAACUGCAUUCGAAACUGGCAGGCUAGAGUCUUGUGGAGGGGGGUAGAAUUCCAGGUGUAGCGGUGAAAUGCGUAGAGAUCUCGAGGAAUACCGGUGGCGAAGGCGGCCCCCUGGACAAAGACUGACGCUCAGGUGCGAAAGCGUGGGGAGCAAACAGGAUUAGAUACCCGAGUAGUC
rnacentral:rRNA from 1 species